CAUUCGCACCUGUAUCUUGCUGAACCGUUUUAACCUUUCCCAUAACCGGUUGAGCAAAAUUUCAGGUGUGUGAGAAA
rnacentral:pre_miRNA from 1 species